GUAGGUGAACCUGCGGAAGGAUCAUUAUUGAAUAUUCUUGAUGGGUUGUAGCUGGCUCUUCGGGGCAUGUGCACGCUUGUCUUGACUUUAUUCAUCCACCUGUGCACCUUUUGUAGUCUUGGGGGUUGAGAGCAGUCGACUAUCGGAUGGCUUAUGGCCUUACCGGAUGUGAGGAAUGCUGAGUGCGAAAGCAUACGGCUCUUCUCAAAUGGCUUGCAGAACCUCUCCCUCGAGUACUAUGUAUUCAUAUACCACAUAGCAUGUUGUAGAAUGUGAUCAAUGGGCCUCUGUGCCUAUAAUAAUCUUAUACAACUUUCAGCAACGGAUCUCUUGGCUCUC
rnacentral:misc_RNA from 1 species